GACGAACGCUGGCGGCGUGCCUAAUACAUGCAAGUGGGACGCAAGGGAACACACUGUGCUUGCACACCGUGUUUUCUUGAGUCGCGAACGGGUGAGUAACGCGUAGGUAACCUGCCUAUUAGCGGGGGAUAACUAUUGGAAACGAUAGCUAAUACCGCAUAAUAUUAAUUAUUGCAUGAUAAUUGAUUGAAAGAUGCAAGCGCAUCACUAGUAGAUGGACCUGCGUUGUAUUAGCUAGUUGGUAAGGUAAGAGCUUACCAAGGCGACGAUACAUAGCCGACCUGAGAGGGUGAUCGGCCACACUGGGACUGAGACACGGCCCAGACUCCUACGGGAGGCAGCAGUAGGGAAUCUUCGGCAAUGGACGAAAGUCUGACCGAGCAACGCCGCGUGAGUGAAGAAGGUUUUCGGAUCGUAAAGCUCUGUUGUAAGUCAAGAACGUGUGUGAGAGUGGAAAGUUCACGCAGU
rnacentral:rRNA from 1 species